rnacentral:rRNA from 1 species
GAUUAAGUUAUUAAGGGCGCACGGUGGAUGCCUUGGCACUAGAAGCCGAUGAAGGACGUUACUAACGACGAUAUGCUUUGGGGAGCUGUAAGUAAGCUUUGAUCCAGAGAUUUCCGAAUGGGGAAACCCAGCAUGAGUUAUGUCAUGUUAUCGAUAUGUGAAUACAUAGCAUAUCAGAAGGCACACCCGGAGAACUGAAACAUCUUAGUACCCGGAGGAAGAGAAAGAAAAUUCGAUUCCCUUAGUAGCG